CCAGCGUGCAGCGCGCGGUCCCGUGCGUCCCGCCGGGCUCCGCCGCCCCACGCGUGAUCGGCCGCCGGGAACUGACGAUUUCCGUGGAGAGGAACAAGCACGAGUGUCGUGGAAUUUUUUGAGGCUCCGCUUCGGCGGAGCUGUCCCU